CGGAACAAUUUUUACUUUAGUGGCGGACGGGUGAGUAACGCGUGGGUAACCUGCCUUAUACAGGGGGAUAACACUUAGAAAUAGGUGCUAAGACCGCAUAAGCGCCCAGGGCCGCAUGGCCCAGGGUGAAAAACUCCGGUGGUAUAAGAUGGGCCCGCGUCUGAUUAGCCAGUUGGCAGGGUAACGGCCUACCAAAGCGACGAUCAGUAGCCGGCCUGAGAGGGUGGACGGCCACAUUGGGACUGAGACACGGCCCAAACUCCUACGGAAGGCAGCAG
rnacentral:rRNA from 1 species